AGCAAUAACUAGGGGAGUCCAAUGAGCUUGGGCUGAGAAAGAAACCGCGUUGAAGUUUCUUGACCCUUUGGACCUGAUCUGGAUCAUACCAGCGUAGGGAAGUUAACUUCUUCUUUU
rnacentral:ncRNA from 1 species